AUGGACCACGUGUACGCUCCGCUCCUCCGCGUUGCCCGCACCCACCCGCCGACCGCUCGCGACAUUUUGUCAGCC
rnacentral:sRNA from 1 species